rnacentral:rRNA from 1 species
GCUUUACACAUGCAAGUCGAACGGCAGCGGGGGCUUCGGCCUGCCGGCGAGUGGCGAACGGGUGAGUAAUGCAUCGGAACGUGCCCAUGUCGUGGGGGAUAACGUAGCGAAAGCUACGCUAAUACCGCAUACGUCCUGAGGGAGAAAGCGGGGGAUCUUUGGACCUCGCGCGAUUGGAGCGGCCGAUGUCGGAUUAGCUAGUAGGUGAGGUAAAGGCUCACCUAGGCGACGAUCCGUAGCGGGUCUGAGAGGAUGAUCCGCCACACUGGGACUGAGACACGGCCCAGACUCCUACGGGAGGCAGCAGUGGGGAAUUUUGGACAAUGGGGGCAACCCUGAUCCAGCCAUGCCGCGUGAGUGAAGAAGGCCUUUUGGUUGUAAAGCACUUUAAGCGAGGAGGAGGCUACUUAGAUUAAUACUCUAGGAUAGUGGACGUUACUCGCAGAAUAAGCACCGGCUAACUCUGUGCCAGCAGCCGCGGUAAUA